rnacentral:ncRNA from 2 species
AGCUCAUCCAGAGGGACUGAGGGAACGGCCCGUCGACGUCCCGGCAACCUUCUCGCACGGCAGCUUCGGCGGCCCUGGCGGGACAGGUGCCAAUUCCGUCCUGUGGCGCGCCCGCGUCACGGGGAAGAUGAGGA